rnacentral:rRNA from 1 species
UUUGAUGGAGAGUUUGAUCCUGGCUCAGGACGAACGCUGGCGGCGUGCUUAACACAUGCAAGUCGAACGAUGAUGGCCGUGCUUGCACGGUCGGAUUAGUGGCGAACGGGUGAGUAACACGUGAGUAACCUGCCCCCCACUUCGGGAUAACCU